CCAGGACAGAGAGGGGAGAAAAGCGUCCUCAGCCUGGGAACCACUGGGGCUCCGGUCGCCCAGGGCAGCUGUCAGCUGGCCAGGCCCUGCCCUUCUCAGGACCCACGUCAGCUGCCCCUGGCUUGUUGGGUCCGCUGCCACCCAGAGCCCCUUCGGAGGACAAGCCCUUUCACAUCUGUCCAGGGGCCACGAGAAUGAAGGGCGGGUCUGCCUGAAUCUGCCAGAAAAACAACUCAGUCCACAUUCUGCCCAUGCAGGUCAGGGUUCUCCAGGCAAGAAUACUGGAGUGGAUUGCCAUUUCCUUCUCCGGGGGAUCUUCCUGACCCAGGGAUUGAACCUGGGUUUCCUGCAAUGACAGAUUCCCUAUCUCCGGCCAGUUACCAAGACAUGCCAGCCACACCUCCCACUCAUCCCUUCCCUUGCCCACCAGUCUCAGAUAGUCUACAGCAAUGAAACCCACCCAGAAGUCCUGCUCCAACUGGUUUUCAUGACUAUGUGAUUGACCCUGAAUUGAAACACGAUAAUGGAAUGCCUCUAAAUACACACUCUUCAUGGAAAAUGUAUGAGUUUUUUUUUUUUUUCUUAAUUUUUCUAAUGGAAUCGGAGGACUUGGUUCUUGGACAGACUGUUGGUGUGAGGUAAGAUGAAAAGGUUGAGCGGCCGUGUUCUAUCCAACACACCCAUGCUUCUUGGCUACACUUUGUUUCUAAACCCAAAUAGCAUUGUCCAUCCGAGGUCUGCCCUAGACUGUGAGUAGGGAAUCACAACCCUAUUUUUUUUCUCUGGUUUCUGAUGCUCCCCUUCCUUAAUUACCACUUUGCAAAAUGAAGGCACUUCCUUAGCUGAUGUAGUUUAAACUUAUGCAGAGUAGGGUGGGAGGGAUGUUGGUAAGGUGAACUGCAUCCAGUGAUGUUCUGCUCCUGGACUUGGUACCUGGAUGUGGUCCUUUGUGAAAGUUUGUCUGACUGUGUAUUCAUGAUCUGAGCACUUUUCUGUAUAUAUAUUUAACUUCAAGCAAAAAUGAAAAUAGGGGGCUUCCCUGGAGGCUCAGUGGUAAAGAAUCCACCUGCCAAUGCAGGAGACACACACAGGUGUGAUCCUUGGUCCGGGAAGAUCCCACAGGCCGUGGAACAACUAAACCUUUGGACCACAGCUGCUGAGCCUGUGCUCAAGUCCAUGCUCUGUGACAAGAGAAGCCACCACAACGAGAAGCCCGCGCACCGAAACUAGAGAGUAGCCCCUGCUCGCCGCAAGCAGAGAAAAGUCCGUAUAGCAACAGAGACCCAGCACAGCCAAAAAUAAGUAAAUAAAUAAUCUUUAAAAUUGAAAACAAGGCAUAUGUACUAAGAAACUUUUACAAAGAUGUUUUUCGCAAUGCUCUUUACGAUAUUAAAAAUUGGAAAUAUCUUGCAUGCAUGAGAGGAUUGGUAAAAUAACAUUUAUCAUAUCUG